rnacentral:rRNA from 1 species
GAUGAACGCUAGCGGGAGGCCUAACACAUGCAAGCCGAGCGGGAUUUGUUGGUUAGCUUGCUAACUAACAAUGAGAGCGGCGUACGGGUGCGUAGCACGUGUGCAACCUGCCUUUAUCUGGGGGAUAGCCUUUCGAAAGGAAGAUUAAUACCCCAUAACAUAUUGAUUGGCAUAAGUUAAUAUUGAAAGCUCCGGCGGAUAGAGAUGGGCACGCGUAAGAUUAGCUAGUUGGUGAGGUAACGGCUCACCAAGGCUGCGAUCUUUAGGGGGCCUGAGAGGGUGAUCCCCCACACUGGUACUGAGACACGGACCAGACUCCUACGGGAGGCAGCAGUGAGGAAUAUUGGACAAUGGGUGAGAGCCUGAUCCAGCCAUCCCGCGUGAAGGACUAAGGACCUAUGGUUUGUAAACUUCUUUUAUACAGGGAUAAACCUACUCUCGUGAGGGUAGCUGAAGGUACUGUAUGAAUAAGCACCGGCUAACUCCGUG